rnacentral:rRNA from 1 species
GAUGAACGCUAGCGGCAGGCUUAAUACAUGCAAGUCGAGGGGCAUCAAGGUACACGAAAGUGUAUUGUUGGCGACCGGCGGACGGGUGAGUAAUAGGUAGGUAACCUACCUCAUACUGAGGCAUAGCUGGGAGAAAUUCCAGGUAAUUCCUCAUGAGGUUAUAUGACACAUGUGAUAUAAUCAAAGGUAUCGCAAGGUACUGGUAUGAGAUGGGCUUACUGACCAUUAGCUAGUUGGUGAGAUAAGAGCUCACCAAGGCGAAGAUGGUUAGGGAUUUUGAGAGAGAGAUCCCCCACAUUGGAACUGAGAUACGGUCCAGACUCCUACGGGAGGCAGCAGUGGGGAAUCUUGGGCAAUGGGCGAAAGCCUGACCCAGCGACGCCGCGUUGGGGAUGAAGCCCUUCGGGGCGUAAACCCAUGUUGUAGGGGACGAAGAAAGUGACGGUACCCUACGAGAAAGCCCCGGCCAACUACGUG